UUUCGUGCUUCGUCAAUUCGUCUUAUCCCCAACCGAGUAGAACAUGAGCUCGAUACUGAUCUCCUGUGAGUUCGAAUUGGAGAUGGAUUUGUCGACACAAUCUGAUUGGAAGUAAUUGAAAUUGGGGGCUGGAAUAGAACCCGUGUGCAAGAUGAGGUCGUGGCCGGCUUCACAGGAACAGAAAUUCCAACGUUCUGCUGCAUUUGGCUUCUGGGAAAAAACUCGUGUAAGUACGGGAGCUGUGGUGGCAUAAAUUCGAGAGUUCCAGAAUUUGAUUCAACGAUGAGUCUUUCGUCCUUUUCUUUUAGUUUCUUUGUACCAAAAACAAUUUUAUUUAUACCAAAAACAAUUUCCUUGUGCUUUGACAACUCCUAUUGCUGCAACUUUAAGGAUUUUAAAUUUGAUAAACCCUUUUGUGCAGGUAUAAAAGGCGAGGACAACAACUGCAGUCAAGACUCCAGAGUUUCAAUUUGAGGACCAUCGGAAACGCUGCUUCGGUAUAUUCAUCUGGACGCUGCCAGGCAUGGUUCAUCGGAGACACUGCUCCGGCAUGUUCAUCGCAGACGCUGCUCUGGCAUGUUCAUCGCAGACGCUGCUCCGGCAUGUUUUCCUUUUGCUUAGCAUCGUUGACAAACCUGUGAACACAAAAGAAAGUGAAGAUCAUGGAAGAGAGGAAGUCUCAACCUUUGUGAUAAAAGCACGCUGUUGAAUUCUUCUUGCUUGCCGCAGGGCCUCGGCUCUCUUCUUCUCUUUUUUCUGUGUCCUCCACAUCAAUAUUGCUAGCUUUAUAUAGUAGACUGAUGGAGAGAAUAACGUGAAUGUUGUUGACUCCCACAUGAAAUGAAAUAGCUAGAGUCUCCUUUCUUCAAGGCUCUUGAAGAUAAAUUGUCCUUAUCUUUGAUUGAGACGUUCUCCUGCUACUCUUAUUCUUUCUCUUUCUUUCUUUUUUAUCAUUACUUGGCUGGAACUUUAUCUUAUAUAAUAAAGAAACUAGCAAAGUGUAGCACGUCAU